UACGUAGGGUGCAAGCGUUUAAUCGGAAUUACUGGGCGUAAAGCGUGCGCAGGCGGUUUUGUAAGUUUGUCGUGAAAGCCCCGGGCUCAACCUGGGAAUUGCGAUGAAGACUGCAAGGCUUGAAUCUGGCAGAGGGGGGUAGAAUUCCACGUGUAGCAGUGAAAUGCGUAGAGAUGUGGAGGAACACCGAUGGCGAAGGCAGCCCCCUGGGUCAAGAUGACGCGCUCAUGCACGAAAGCGUGGGGAGCAAACAGG
rnacentral:rRNA from 1 species